AUACGUAGGGUGCGAGCGUUAAUCGGAAUUACUGGGCGUAAGGCGUGCGCAGGCGGUGAUGUAAGACAGAUGUGAAAUGCCCGGGCUCAACCUGGGACCUGCAUUUGUGACUGCAUCGCUAGAGUACGGUAGAGGGGGAUGGAAUUCCGCGUGUAGCAGUGAAAUGCGUAGAUAUGCGGAGGAACACCGAUGGCGAAGGCAAUCCCCUGGACCUGUACUGACGUUCAUGCACGAAAGCGUGGGGAGCAAACAGGAUUAGAUCCCCUGGUAGUCCACGCCCUAAACGAUGUCAACUGGUUGUUGGGUCUUCACUGACUCAGUAACGAAGCUAACGCGUGAAGUUGACCGCCUGGGGAGUACGGCCGCAAGGUUGAAACUCAAAUGAAUUGACGGGG
rnacentral:rRNA from 1 species